UCCCUGAGCCUCUGUUCCUUCCAGCUCCCAACUCUGGCGUACCUGUGCAUGGAUCUUCUCUGCUUUUGAAAUCUGCUGCUUGGAACAGAAUGACCUGGUUGUAGGGAUGAUGCCCCUUCUUCCUUUUGCCUUUGCCCACACUCUGGACUGGAUAGGUGGAUGCUUUUCUGAGGGAAGCUAAGAAACAAUCUUCAAAUUACUGUCAAAAAUCCAGGCAAACCAAGAAGCAUCUUAGUGAAAGAACAAAUUGAGCUUAUCUGGCCUCCAGACAGAUGAGGAAACAGUUGGAAAACAGUUUGCAGAUUUGUCUGGCUAGAGAAGGGUAAAAAGGUCUAUAUAAAAUUGUCAGACACCUGACAAUAACUUUCACCCUGCUGCCGAAAGCACUGAGACACAAACCUAAAUGGAAUAAUAUAGAACAUGGUUCCACUUUCUUGAGUUUUGAUGGAGGUGUGUGGUGAGUCUUUGGUUUGGUUUCAUUUUGCUUUUUAAGAUGAACAUCUUCCUGAGUUCGUGAUGCAGUCCAGUGUGUAAUCUGAAUGUUUUUGACAACACACAGCCAUCCAUAUAAGCAGGUAAUUUUUGAAUUUCAACUUUAGUCCAGCUAGUUAAUAAAGAAGGAAAGGAGGAAGUCAGUGGUUCUGUUGUCAUUUAAUUAUCUCCGUUUUUUGCUGAUACAUAGUUCUCAACAGCCCUGUAAAUUGGAAUGCUAAAUAUUAAUUCACAAAUAAAUAUAUUAAAAUAUGAUAGUCUUUAAUUUGAAGAUGACAGAUUGAGAAGUUUACUCAAAAUAAACCUUUCCAGAAAGCUUACCAGAAUAAACCUAACAGAAUAAACCUUGCUUAUGAAGAAAACAUGUGCAUAUUAUAUAUCAAAAUCAAACCAGAAUACAAUUAAGUCUGUAAAUAAAAUACCUGGAAUUUCUGUUUCUCUGUGUAGCUAUUAUUUUCUUUUUGGAGAAAAAGUGUAUGGUCCAUUAUGAGAAGUACAGUAGAGAAAAGACUAUUUUUCUGUAGAAGAAAGGGAUUACCAUCUCAUACCUGAGAG